AGUCCUUAGAUCAUGCUACAUUUAACGGCCUUGAUUAAAAAUAAAAAUUUAACACACUAAAAUCCCACGCUUCUCUCUCUCUCCUAUCUCUCUCCUCUCUCCUCUCUCCUCUCUCCUAAAUCUCAAGUUCGUUUCUUCUGCAAAUACUCCUCUCUGCUCAACUUCGACGGUUUCAAUUAGUUUUUUUUUUCCCUUGCAAUACUAGUUCAUCGAUUUUCUUCUGCAAUUCGACAUUAAAUCUCAAGUUUAAUUGUUGCAGACAGUAUGGGAGAGAAAGCGCUAUAAUAUGAGUGAUUAUUUGGAUAGAUUUGAGCAUCCAUUGGGUGCUGAUUUAGUUUCAUAUGAUCUCUUUAAUGUCAAGUUUCCAUGGCAAACAAGUAAGCCAACCUUGGACUGUGGUGUUUUUGCAAUGGUUCACAUGUUGAACUAUGAUGGAGAAAUAUGUGAGUCUCAGCUUGGCAACGCCAAGAUAAGGCGCACAAUGAGAGCUGAAAUAUGUGUGAUAUCAAUAAUAUUAGGAAGGAGAUUAUCCCAAAGAUUCAUGAGUUCAAUGAGAUUAAUGCUUCUAUUCGAGACAAGUUGUGGAUGAUUUACAAGGAACAAGACAAUAUACGGAAAGAAACAGCUCGUUUGAAGGUGUAGAGUAAACAUAUAAUUCAUGAAGUUGCAGCUAAAUAAUUCUCACAUAUUUACAAGUAUUUUUUCCCGCUUUUGUAAAGGGAUAGCCGCACAUAAAUUCUUUUUCUUCUGUGACCCACACAGACGAGGUUACCCUGUUUUGCUAUAUACUUUUCUCUUUUGGUUUAUAUUCUGUCAUAUUGAUAUACUUUGAUUUU